CCAGCUCCAAUAGCGUAUAUUAAAGUUGUUGCAGUUAAAAAGCUCGUAGUUGAAACUUGGGCCUGGCUGGCGGGUCCGCCUCACCGCGUGCACUCGUCCGGCCGGGCCUUCCUUCUGAAGAACCUCAUGCCCUUCACUGGGCGUGCUGGGGAAUCAGGACUUUUACUUUGAAAAAAUUAGAGUGUUCAAAGCAGGCCUUUGCUCGAAUACGUUAGCAUGGAAUAAUAAAAUAGGGCGUGCGUUUCUAUUUUGUUGGUUUCUAGAGACGCCGCAAUGAUUAACAGGAACAGUCGGGGGCAUCAGUAUUCAGUUGUCAGAGGUGAAAUUCUUGGAUUUACUGAAGACUAACUACUGCGAAAGCAUUUGCCAAGGAUGUUUUCAUUAAUCAGUGAACGAAAGUUAGGGGAUCGAAGACGAUCAGAUACCGUCGUAGUCUUAACCGUAAACUAUGCCGACUAGGGAUCGGGCGAUGUUCUUUUUCUGACUCGCUCGGCACCUUACGAGAAAUCAAAGUUUUUGGGUUCUGGGGGGAUUAUGGUCGCAAGGCUGAAACUUAAAGAAAUUGACGGAAGGUCACCACCAGGCGUGGAGCCUGCGGCUUAAUUCGACUCAAC
rnacentral:rRNA from 1 species